UGAUGAACUGUCUUGGCCUGAAC
rnacentral:piRNA from 1 species